rnacentral:rRNA from 1 species
CCUACGGGGAGCAGCAGUGAGGAAUAUUGGUCAAUGGACGAGAGUCUGAACCAGCCAAGUAGCGUGAAGGAUGACUGCCCUAUGGGUUGUAAACUUCUUUUAUAUGGGAAUAAAAUGUUCCACGUGUGGGAUUUUGUAUGUACCAUAUGAAUAAGGAUCGGCUAACUCGGUGCCAGCAGCCGCGGUAGUACGGAGGAUCCGAGCGUUAUCCGGAUUUAUUGGGUUUAAAGGGAGCGUAGGUGGAUUGUUAAGUCAGUUGUGAAAGUUUGCGGCUCAACCGUAAAAUUGCAGUUGAAACUGGCAGUCGUGAGUACAGUAGAGGUGGGCGGAAUUCGUGGUGUAGCGGUGAAAUGCUUAGAGAUCACGAAGAACUCCGAUUGCGAAGGCAGCUCACUGGACUGCAACUGACACUGAGGCUCGAAAGUGUGUGUAUCAAACAGGAUUAGAUACCCGUGUAGUC